rnacentral:rRNA from 1 species
GACGAACGCUGGCGGCACGCUUAACACAUGCAAGUCGAACGAAGAUGUUUCACCGUAGCUUGCUACACCGAGACAUUUUAGUGGCGAACGGGUGAGUAACGCGUGAGGAACCUGCCUUUCAGUGGGGGACAACAGUUGGAAACGACUGCUAAUACCGCAUAAUGUAUUUUAGGGGCAUCCCUGAGAUACCAAAGAUUUAUUGCUGAAAGAUGGCCUCGCGUCUGAUUAGCUAGUUGGUGGGGUAACGGCCUACCAAGGCGACGAUCAGUAGCCGGUCUGAGAGGAUGAACGGCCACAUUGGGACUGAGACACGGCCCAUACUCCUACGGGAGGCAGCAGUAGGGAAUUUUGCGCAAUGGGCGAAAGCCUGACGCAGCAACACCGCGUGAAUGUUAAGCCCUUCGGGGUGUAAAGUUCUGUCAGUAGGGAAGAACAAAUGACUGUACCUACAAAGGAAGCACCGGCUAACACCGUG